rnacentral:rRNA from 1 species
CUGGCUCAGAACGAACGCUGGCGGCGCGUUUAAGCAUGCAAGUCGAGCGGCAAGGGCCUUCGGGCCCCUAGAGCGGCGGACGGGUGAGUAACACGUGGACAAUCUGCCCCCCGGCCCGGGAUAGCCCAGGGAAACCUGGAUUAAUACCGGAUGAGACGGGACCCGCGAUGGCGGGACCCGGGAAAGGCGCUGCGGCGCCGCCGGGGGAUGAGUCUGCGUCCCAUUAGCUAGACGGCGGGGUAACGGCCCACCGUGGCGACGAUGGGUAGCCGGCCUGAGAGGGUGGACGGCCACAUUGGAACUGAGACACGGUCCAGACUCCUACGGGAGGCAGCAGCUAAGAAUCUUCCGCAAUGGGCGAAAGCCUGACGGAGCCGACGCCGCGUGAACGAAGAAGGCCGUGAGGUUGUAAAGUUCUUUUCGGGAGGGGGAACAACCGUGGCAGGGAAUGGCCGCGGGAUGACGUGAAUCCCGGAAUAAGCCCCGGCUAACUACGUGCCAGCAGCGGC